UUUUUAUGUAUGUCAGUGUUUUGCCUCUAUGCAUGUAUAUGUAUCACAUGUCUUAUGCUUACUGCAAGCCCUAGCCCUUUCUCCCUCUUUCCCUCCUAGUCCCCCCCCCCCCUUCUAGACCUCCCUUCCAAUUGGAAGUUUCUUCAGAAGUAACUAAAGUGCACACCACCUGUAAUACCUACUUAAUACCACCAGGGUGCCUCAUGGUGCUGUCUGAUGUGUGUUCUCAACUCUGGCCUUGGCUCAGAGCCCAGCUCCAAGACAGUGAGAUGCUUGACUUCCUGGCUUUACAGUGUACAGACAGCUCAGCUCAGGAAAACCUUUGCCCUUUUUUUGGCCCCAUGGAAGACAACAGGUCAUUCAGAGGUUGGACUUGCCAGCCAGCCACUCAGUAACUAGGCAACAGCCCUAUAAAAGCCAAAGAAGGGGCUUGCAAGGUGGCUCAGCAAUUAAGAACACUGACUGCUCUUCCAGAAGUUCUGAGUUCAAUUCCCAGCAACUACAUGGUGGUUCACAACCAUCCACAAUGGGAUCUGUUGCACUCUUGUGGCAUGCAGGUGUACAUGAGACAGAGCACUCAUAUACAUAAAUAUUUAAAAAAAAAAAGCUGAAGAACCUGCCCGUUUUUCAAAGAGCAGCUAAAGAGAAGCGGCUAUACCUUGGAGGAGAGAGCAAAUAGAGAGACCUUGAAGGGAAUCUUCUAGGGCAGGGAAGAAGUAUCCGUUGACUCCAAGUACAAGAACAUACCAUGUCCAAAUAACUACCUCUAUGUGAGGAAAGGAUAGAAAACAUUCAAGACAUGGGCUUAAGAUCUACAGAUUCCAACCAGUAGCAGUGGCUGACUCCUACACAGAAGACUGGGAACUGCAAACAGGCUGGGGUCACCUCAGUGACAUCUGACGCUGUCCAACCAGAAGUCUGACUUGUAUGUGCGUGUGCUGCAGGAAUUGAAAAAUUACUAAAAGACUAAAAUGUUUUGCCUCU
rnacentral:lncRNA from 1 species